GUAAUGAUCUUUAUGAAGAAAGUGACCCAACUCCUUAGAGCUGGUUUUAAAGUUUAUAUGUUCUCAGCUGAAUGCUCUUUAGGUCUUUGGUGCUUUUUUAAUUAGUUUUUUUUAAAAUCUGUGACUACUUUUGUUGUCAUUUUUAGAAAAAGUCUUUAAAAAACAAAGGUAUAAACUAUCACCUUAUUUUAUACUUGAAAGUUUAUCCUACUUAAUAUAUAUAUAUAUUAAAUAUCUUCUAGUCUAAUUUACAUCUGUGCGCAUUUUUAUAUAUAUAAAAAAAAGACAAAAAAAGAAGACAGCAGUUCUGUUUUUUUUUCUAUAUAAUUAAAUGUAAACAGGAGUCUGGCAGAUUUAAACCAAAAGAAGAAGUGUGAACAAAAAGUGAUUAUUCUUGGCCGACCUUCGUUGACAGAUCUAUUCACAUCCCACCAUCAAGGACGCUGACCUAAACAGAAGCAGUCUAUCCGCUUCUCAAACUCACCCUGUAUUCAAGUUCUGCACUGAAAUCAAUUUACGGCUGCUCGGCUGAUUGAUUGGAGGACAAAACUGAAGAGAAUUGAUGUUGUGCGGAGCCGGAUCAAGGAAAGCAGCAACAGCUGAAAAAGUCAGCACUACAACCCCCUUCCAUCAUGAAGAACACUCUGCUUUCAGGAGGAUAUUAUGUGGAAUUUCAAAACAUCAAAGCUAUUUUCAGCUGAUGGUUGAUUAAAAAACCAAAAAUGGGGUUUGGUCUGUAAUUGAAAUAAUCUAACAUGGGCGUUUUGAAAGGGGCCAUUGUUGCAGGCAGAGCGAGGGCAGAAGGGUUUGGUGAGAGAGGGAAGAGAGGCGAAACAUUCAUUUUCACUGUUUCCAUUUUCUAUUCUCCAGAGCCAUAUGGGGUGGCGUCAAGCUGGCAAAAGAACAAAUAACAGUUUGACGCCAGCGACCACAGCUCAUAGCAGCGAGGACGGGGGAGAGAGAAAAGUACAAAACACCAGAGAUUUAUUUUAAGAAUUGAGCAUAUUGUGAUUAGAUUCUGGCUGCGGGAUGAUAUGUGUGAAGUUGGACAGAAUAGGUGGCAUGAUAAAAGCAUUUGCUGUGCGAUGAUAAGGGAUUAAUCAAGCCACAAUUUGAAUUUAACACAGUUUAUUUUCACUCCAUGCAGCAAGCCGUACAUGUUCCUCUGUGUCUGAUUACUGUUUUAUUUUUCAAUUCACCGUCUGAUCCAGCAGCAGAUUGGUGUUUUCUUUCAAAGAUAAAAAAAAAAAAAAA